UCUGGCCCAGCGCCGCGAAGGCGUCCUGCAGCCGGUUGACCAGCGGGAUGAGCCCCUCCAUCCCGCCGCCGCCUCCUCCACCCGCCGCCUCCUCCACCCGCCGCCGCUGACAGGAUGUGGCGUUACGCAGCAUUUGGGAAGCACAACAGAAAGGCAGGACUGGACAAGGGAGGGAUGAAGGCAGCCUUUGUAUGAGCUCCUGGGGAAGAAAGGAGAUGGUUUUGGUGAAAUAAAGGGCAUACACACAAACCUA